AUUCUACAUCUCAACGAGUUCUACUAACUCCAAGAAGAUCAAACAUGUCUGGAAUCAAAGGAGGACAUAGCCACCACAAGUCCCAAUGCCAAGAUCCAUGCAAAGACCCAUGCAAAAAGCAAGCUAUGUGCCAGGACCCAUGUUCUAAUCCUUGCCAGGACCGUAAGUGAUACCUGAAAUCUAGUUUUAAGUUUAUCCCGAUAUUCUACUUGUACUGUCUGGUAUAAAUAUGAUAUUUUAGAUUUUGUCUUCUAUUCAAAAUUGCUAUAGCAGAACAAAUACUUAAAAGCAUAGUGUGCUUCUGUAGAAACAUUUGGCAUGCCAGACUAUUAACAAAAGUCUCAGUUUUAGGUAAUGAGUGUGGUAAACCUGUGUAUUGUAUUACAGAAUUGUUCCAGGGCCGUUGCUAGGUUCCAAAAACACCUGGGGCUACAGUCCAAAGCAAAACUCAAUGACCACUGCACUAUUAGAGAGGUUGGGAUAUGUUAUGAUAUACCCCUGUCUUUCUAUAUUAUAUCCUCUCUACCCAUGAAAGAGAGCUGCUGAAAUUCUGUGGUCUCAAUAAACUGCACAGUUAUGUAUUUAAUCUAAUCCAUAAUGCCUAACUAAUAGAGAGGAAUAUGCAGCAAAGUCCUGUGCCUCAAGAAGCGCUCCUGAGAGUCUGAAAAUCACAGUGAGAAAACACUGAACGUCCAUAGGAAAGCAUUGAGUAAUGGGCAGUUUGAAUGCGUGCGCGGCUCUUGCCGCGCAUGCGCAUUCGGAGCUGAGAGGAGGAGGGAUCCCCAACGCCAAGGGAGUCCGGCGCUGGAGAAAGGUAAGUGCUGAAGACACACACACACACUAUCACGAACAGACGCAUACACACUAGCUAACAGACACACACAUUUACUGACAGAGACACACUCAGCUACAGACAGACAUACACACUCACUGACAAACACACACUCACUAACAGACACACACAAACAUACUCAGUAACAGACACACAAAGUAACACACUCACUGACACUCACUAGCAGACACACUCAAUAACAGACACACUCACUGACACUCAGUAGCAUACACACACUCUAACACACACACUAACACACACUUACACUAACACACACUAACACACACUAACACACACACAUUAACACAAACACACACAUGUUUUUUUUAAAAAUUUAAUCCCCCCAGCCUCCUUACCUUUUGGAGUGCUGAGGGGAUUCCCUGGGGUCCAGUGGUGCUGCUGGGCUCCUGGGCGGCCGGUCCUCUUGCACUGCUCCGGUAUCAGUGUAGUGCACGAGGGAGCUGAAGAGGGAGCAUACAGGGGAGAGUGCUCCCUUGUGCGCCUGCAGGACCGGCUGGCCGGUGACACCAGGGCCAGCCUCAGGGGGCCCUGAGGUGGCAGGCUCCUGGGCCCCCCAAGAGAAGAGGCUGGCCACACUGGCAUACAUACCGGGUCGCAGGGUGGCCGGGUCCCCUGGUGGGCCGGGCCCGGUCGCAGCUGCGACCCCUGCGACCCCGGUAUGUACGCCACUGCCUGGAGGGAACUACUGGCUAGCCUCCUGCCUUCCAGCUAUGGCCCCUGUGCUGAAAACUGAAUUUUACCCUGCAGAAAGGUUUAUUUGUGUAUUUCUGCCGGGGCGUUCGGGACUUUCAGUAUGUAAGUAGUGCAACCCCAGAUAGCAAUGUUAUGGAGCCUAUUCGUGAAACGAAAGACUAUGGAAAAGACUGUGGCUCCAUGGCGAUUGAACUGUAUGUAUGUGAUCUGAGCGCCAUUCAGUAAUAAUGUGCACUCAGAUCUAAGCUAUCUGGGGAUAUGUUGCAUGUAUAUAUUUUAUGUAGUAAUUGUAACAUUGUGUAAUUUUAUGUCUUUUUGUAACCAUGUGGUUAAUGGAGUCUUGCCUCUGUCCUGGGAGAUAAUUUGAUUACUUCCCAAUUAUCUCCAGGAUAGAGAGGAGGGAUUGUGAUGUCACUCUGGGAGUAUUUUGUUUGUAUUGUCUGUGAUUGGCUAAUAUCCAAUAUGUGUACCAUUGUUCCACCAGGUCCCCUAGGGGAGUGUCCACCUGGUGGACACUUGCAGAAAUACCAGGCAGGUAGCCCUCAAUAAACCAGACCUACUUGCACGUUUCUUGAAGCCUUGGCUCAUGCUUUGGGGAAGGGAUACCUACACUCUGGGGAUUGCUAUAAUCACUUACUCCCCACUUGUAAGAGCUUGAUUUAUUCCUGCUACGCUCUCUGGAUUUAGGAGAGGUCCACCCACUGGAAGCUGGAUCCUGGCCUUGGGUCCAGGGUGGGUGAAAGAAAUAUCAUCAUAAUAAUAAUAAUGUGUUAAAUUGAUAAAUAUGAGAUUGAAAAAAGUCAGGAAAUUUUGUUCAAGUAGCACAUUUAAAAGACAUUUUUUUCUGAUGCCUUAUUUGAAAAGUUAAACCAUUUAAAAAGAGUACCUUUCUACCAUAAUAACAAAAAUUGCAGUUGGAGAACACAAUCAUAUCUUACAAUCAUAUCUUACAAACAUAUUGUUUGCUUUUUUUGUAGCAUGUAAAGCUCAUUAUCAAGGUCAUGGUCAAGGAGGAUAUGGGCAAGGCCAAUGCUACGGCGGCAACCAAAAAGGUAAAUCUAUGUAUUAACCUCUGUAGAUACUGCACGAUUCGACAUCUGGUUCCCUUCUUGCAGGAAAGAGAGUAUUACGAAAACAAAAUAAUUUCUUUAUCCAGUUUUAACAAAGAAUACUAGAUUUUUAAAAGAUCUUAUAGUAUAUUAACCAAACAUAUAGUUUGCAAUAAUGUAGGCUGUGCAGAGGGAAUUGUACCCCAAACACCCCAAAGGUGAUGCUGCAAUACCCAUUGACCUGUUAUAACUUUGCACAAUAUUGAAUAGAGAGCAUUUUUUUUCUUUUUAUAUAACUUGUAGCAUAAUAUAGCAAAAUUGGAGACAUGGAGAAUCAGACUUUACUCGAAGAUGCAGUGAAUUCUACUUUAAUCGGGUGGGUUGCAUGCAACCGAACACACAAAAUGUGAAUGGAAGUGUCCAUUCCUUCAUUUAUAUCAAAUGCACAGAGACUUUGGGAUCCCUUUAGAAAGGAUUCCUCAUUUGGGGAAGUGUUUUCCUUUAAAUACAUAUUUUGUUAGAUAGAUUAUAAGGGAGUCUGUAAUAUAAGGGAAUUAAACAAACAAGCUUAUUAACUAAAGUUAUAAAUGCCAGGAAUUCAAAGGGAAUUUCUAAUUUAAUGCCAAAAUAGUCAAAAUGAAGACAUAAUUCACUUGGAGACUUUUUGUUAUUUGGCUAUUUUUGGCCUUAAUUGAAAAAAAAAAAUCAAAGUAUUUCUUUACAUUCAUGGCAAUUCUCAAUGUCUCAAUAUGUCACAAAAUAAAAAAUAAAUAAUUAAAUCACUUUUUGCCCAUGACCAUUAAACCAACCAAUUACAGAUUUUAUUUAAUAUAUUUAAAAUUUUAAUUCAUGCUUUUGUUUCUGCGCAGAUCAAUGCAAUCCCUGCCAGUACCAGGGGAGUCAGGAUGGCUGCAAUAAGUGAAAAUAUCCUGGUUACUUUCUAAGCUGAUUAGAUGCCUUCCAAGAGGAGACAACGUGUGUUCUCUAUAUUUACUUUGGG